UAGAGUUUGAUCCUGGCUCAGGAUGAACGCUGGCUGUAUGCCUAACACAUGCAAGUCGUACGAGAGUUUUUAACUCUAGUGGCGGACGGGUGAGUAACACGUGAGAAUUUGCCUUUAGGAGGGGGACAACAAUUGGAAACGAAUGCUAAUACCCCAUAUGCUUUCGAGUGAAAUGGAUUUAUAUUUAUCCGCCUAGAGAGAAGCUCGCGGCUGAUUAGCUUGUUGGUAAGGUAAGAGCUUACCAAGGCGACGAUCAGUAUCUGGUUUGAGAGGACGAUUAGACACACCGGAACUGAGACACGGUCCAGACUCCUACGGGAGGCAGCAGUGGGGAAUUUUCCGCAAUGGGCGAAAGCCUGACGGAGCAAUACAGCGUGAGGGAAGACUGCCUAUGGGUUGUAAACCUCUUUUUUCAGGGAGGAAUAAAUGACGUGUACCUGAAGAAUAAGCAUCGGCUAACUCCGUGCCAGCAGCCGCGGUAAGACGGAGGAUGCAAGUGUUAUCCGGAAUCACUGGGCGUAAAGCGUCUGUAGGUGGUUUAAUAAGUCAACUGUUAAAUCUUGAGGCUCAACUUCAAAAUCGCAGUCGAAACUAUUAGACUAGAGUAUAGUAGAGGUA
rnacentral:rRNA from 1 species